GUACGGGGGAGCAAGCGUUGUUCGGAUUUACUGGGCGUAAAGGGCGCGUAGGCGGCGUGACAGGUCACUUGUGAAAUCUCCGGGCUUAACUCGGAACGGUCAAGUGAUACUGUCGUGCUAGAGUACAGAAGGGGCAACUGGAAUUCUCGGUGUAGCGGUGAAAUGCGUAGAUAUCGAGAGGAACACCUGCGGCGAAGGCGGGUUGCUGGGCUGACACUGACGCUGACAGCGCGAAAGCUAGGGGAGCGAACGGG
rnacentral:rRNA from 1 species